AGAGUUUGAUCAUGGCUCAGAACGAACGCUGGCGGCAGGCCUAACACAUGCAAGUCGAACGAUAAGCCACCUUCGGGUGGUGGACAGUGGCAGACGGGUGAGUAACGCGUGGGAACGUGCCUUUCGGUUCGGAAUAACCCAGGGAAACUUGGGCUAAUACCGGAUACGCCCUUCGGGGGAAAGAUUCAUUGCCGAAAGAUCGGCCCGCGUCGGAUUAGCUAGUUGGUGGGGUAAUGGCUCACCAAGGCGACGAUCCGUAGCUGGUCUGAGAGGAUGACCAGCCACACUGGGACUGAGACACGGCCCAGACUCCUACGGGAGGCAGCAGUGGGGAAUAUUGGACAAUGGGCGCAAGCCUGAUCCAGCCAUGCCGCGUGGGUGAAGAAGGCCUUAGGGUUGUAAACCCCUUUCAGCGGGGAAGAUAAUGACGGUACCCGCAGAAGAA
rnacentral:rRNA from 1 species